CUUGGCGUUGUCGUUCCCUAGUUGCUCAGCUUUUUUAUAGUGUUAGAAAUAGUUAGAGCAUAGCAUCCAUUGUUGGAAGCAAACAAAGAAUUGGUGGAAGUGCACCCAGCUUAAGAAAAAUCUGCGCCUCACUUACCCAUGCAAAAAGGAGCCAACGCCAAUUGAGUAUUUGCUUCCUCAUAUAUAUGAAAGAUGAUAGUAUAGAGGGAAUAUAUGAUACUUUGAAGGAGUGUGCUGUCAUUAGCAAAUCAGCAGGGGGAAUUGGUGUUUUUGUUCACAAUAUCUGUGCCACUGGCAGCUACAUACGUGGAACAAAUGGGACAUCCAAUGG